CAGUCUUCUCCUGAUCCAGAGAGGACUUUCUCCAAGGGCAAAGAGACAUAACUAUGGCGUGUGGACAGAAAGAUGGCUGGAGAGAAAUCAGCAUUGGUCCUCACCGGCCCUGAACUGAAAAACAUCACACAAAAGGCAGUGUCAUGUUGAUAGUGUUCAGGCAGAGUUUGACGCCAGGCCAGAGGGUGGGUGCCAGGUUCAUGACCCUGGCAGGGCUGUGCCAGUCAGUGCUGUGUUGUCGUGUCACUCCGGGCCAGAAGGCUGAUGUGGUCAUGCUCAAUGGGAAACACACCACCUCCAUCACCAUGGCGAUAGGCGAUGAUGCCAACAAUGUGAACCUGAUCAACAGUGAGUGUGAUGGACAGAGAGGUUGGCAGUGAAAUUAUGUCUGUUCGAAGGCAGGUUGUAUUUAACAUGUUUUCUCUCUCCCUCUCCUCUCGCUCGCUCGCUCUCUCUCUCCCUCUCUCCCCCUCUCCCCCUUCUCCUUCCUCUACCAGCUCACAUACGGGUAGGUUUGGCUGGUGUAGAGAGGAGUCAGGCAGUGCAGAAUGCUGACUAUGCCCUGCCCCAGUUCAGCUUCCUAUAGAGACUCCUAUUGGUCCACAGAAGCUGGUCGUACUGCAGCAUCGCUGUCUUCCUGCGCUACUUCCUGUACAAAUCAAAUCAAAUUUUAUUUGUCACCUGCCCCGAAUACAAUUGUGAAAUGCGUACUUACAAGCCCUUAACCAACAGUGCAGUUCAAGAAAGAGUUAAGAAAAUUUUGACCAAAUAAACUAAAAUUUAAAAAUGUAAAUAACAAUAACGAGGCUAUAUACAGAGAGUACCGGUACCGAGUCAAUGUGCUGGGGUACAGGUUAGUAGAGGUAAUGUAGGUAGGGGCUUUGCUCUGGUACACAUCUGGUUCAGCUUCUUCAAUGGCUUCAGUGCUCAGAGAGAUGGUCCAACUGGUCACAUUGGUUUUGCAUCAUAAAUGGAACUGCAACCUUUUUUAACAGACCCCAAUGUUUUUGCCUUUUUCUGGGCUGUUUUCUUCCAGUCUCUGUAUUAGAAUUGGUUCAUCAUCCUGUACGUCUUCUACACCGACAUGCCAGUAGAAUGCCUGGGCUUUUUCGAGCAGGAGAUGAGUUCCGAGGUCAGUCGGAGCUCCAUAAGGUUGGCCAGUGACAGGAGCUGUUCAACCCCUGGCUGCUGACUGCCACCCUGUUCUAUGCCCUCUACACCUCCCCGGUCCUCUUCUUCAUGCCCCUGGGGGGUUUCUAUAACUCUGUUCUGGACUACCAGACCAUGGCCGUUACCGUCACCUUAGCAUUAGAAUUCAUGGAAUGGACGUCAACAGAGGUCUGUGGAGUUUAGCAAUCACUGUUGAUUGUUGUCUAAGGCUGCAGAUUG